UCGUUGUUGCAUAAGUUGUUCUUUGCUUCCUAGUCGAAUAACAACCAUGACUUUACUCCGGCGGCUGCUAAAGCCGUCGAUGUCGCUGCCAUUGCUCCUGUUGUUGAUGAUGAUGAGGUGGCAGCGACGAUGGUGGAACGACGCCAAAUCUGAGAAUACACUCAGAUCUGAAAAAGAGGGAGCAGUGGAUUUCACCGGAGCCACCACCACCACCACCAUUAUUACUACCAUCUCCAUCUCCAAACUCGAAAAAAACCUUAAGGUUCUAGUUCUUCAGAUCUGAACUCCAUAUGCUUCAUGUAUUAAUGGUUUUUGGUGGUGGUUCGGUAUGGUUUUUGGAGUGGAGGAGGACAGUGGUGGAUCGAAGAAAGGCAGUGGAGGAAGGAGGAGGGUUUUUCCAGUUGUUGUGGUGGUUCGGUAGGGUUUGUGGUUGUGGUGUUUCAGUAUAUUUCUGUAUAUUUCGCUAUAUUUCAAUGUACUGUUUCAGUAUAUUUCUGUAUAUUUCAGUGUACUGUUUCAGUAUAUUUCGCUAUAUUUCAAUGUAUUUCUAAUUUAUGAAACAAUUUCUGAUACAUUUCAUUGUAUUCUAUUGUAUAUACGCAUACUACAAUUUUAUAUUUCUUAAACAAUCAAC